AUGGCACGGCAGCAGGGGCCGGCGGCGCGGCGUCGUGGCGGCGUCCUCUGGCCUCUGCGCUGCUGCUUAGCAGCAGGCCGUAGCAGGCGAGCAGCGUCGCCUUGUCCCGUUCUUCCGCACACCCCUACAGCAACACCCCGACAGUUUAAUCUGGAUGCUGAAGCAAUGAGUACCUGCAAAAUGGCAACGGGGGAAGCUACAUCUGUUCCAGAUAGACUGAGCAGUCUACCUCCAGAGAUAAAGGGCAACAUCCUCUCCCGUUUGAAUAUCGUAGAAGCGGUUAGGACUUGCACCUUAUCAAGUACAUGGAGGGAUGCAUGGACUGAUAUGCCAAAAAUAUCUCUUCGCGAUGGGAAAUUUACACGAACUAAGUUCGUUACGUUGGUUGAUACGGUGCUAUCACUCCACAAGGGAACUAUAGAACAGUUUGAUAUUUCGGGUAGUGAAAGCUAUCAUGAUGAGUUCCCUAGGUGGAUGCUCAUGCUUUCAAGCAGAUCCACAAGAUCAAUUAUAAUUGAGUUUAACUCAAGGCCAAGGUAUAGGUUACCAUCGUGCAUCUUUUCUAUCAGCCAUCUGAAGUCUCUGCACCUAGAAAACUGCACCAUCAGCUUGCCCCGGGUAUUCCAAGGUUUCAGUUUGAAGAGCCUAACUGACCUAAGCCUCAAAAUUUUCUCCUCCACAAACAUGGAUAUCCAAAAUCUCAUCUCAUUCUGCCCUGUACUGACCAAUUUGAUAUUAAAUUAUUUUGAGGGCAUCAACCGUCUAAACAUUCAGGCUCCUGAGUUGCUGGGGACUUUGAAGACAUUGAUUUGGAUGCCCCUAAUCUGA
rnacentral:rRNA from 1 species